AAAGUUUGAGAGAAAAAUCAGCAGCUGAACAUCCAAAACUAAGCUGAAAAACUGAAAGCUUGUGAGUUCUUUCUUCCUUUCGUAAGUCACUAGGCUUUUGGUUUGAGUUUAUAGUUCACAUCGAGUUUAAAAGAUUGCUGUUUCUUGGAUGUUCUAUUGCUAUUUUUUUCUUUACUAUUGAAAGUUUGCUGUGUUCGUUGAUUCGCUUUUCCAAAGUUCCAUAUUUGUUGUAGUUUGAUGUUCAGCCAUUCAAAUAACUUUUAAUCUAUUGUAGUGCAGAUUGUUCAAUUUCAGGUGUUAAAGAUAUGCAUUUUUUUGUUUGUUAUUUAAGCAUGCUUGAUAAAGCCCAGGAAAAAAAAUUUAAAUUCUGUAUGCAUGUCUCAAGUAUGUAGAAUCCGAGAUAAAUAGUUAAAACUUCAAUUUUUGUUUACGAAUUUGUUGAAUUAGUAUCUCGUUAUUCUUUAUAUUAAGAAUAAUGUAUCGGAAGUUUCUGGGCUCUUUAAGUUUGACCCUAUUUAAUUUAUCCCUUUCUAUAAUUGUGGAAAUUCAUACGUAGCGCGAUAGUUAACUUUUAAUCAAUUCUGAAUUAGUUUUCUCAAAACGUAGUAAUUUAUACAGAAGUAAUAACAUACUAAUAAUCCUUGAUAUGAUUACGGAUUCACGUGCAUAGCACUGUUAUGACAAAAUAAAUAAUAUUUGUCUCGGUCUCAUUCGCUUAUGUAGUAUGGUAACAACAUCUUAUUUUGUUUAAAUAUCUUUAAAUAAUCAAGUAAUAAAAGUGGACAUAAGUAAAACAUGAGAAUCAAUAAAACACAAUUUUACCCAAAAAUAAUAUAAGCCAAAUGUAGUCAAUAAAGCGACCAUGCUAGAAGUACGAGACUCAAGGAAUAUUUUACACAUACUCCAUAGCCACUAGAAAUCCUUACCUACACUUUUUACAGACCAAUAAUAGUGUUAAAUCUUACUUUGACUAGGGGUUUAAAUAAAAUGUGACUUGGAACAUUCAAAGAAUUAAGUCCAAGUGUAGACUCUAUAAAUAAAAUAAUCCCUACUCAAGUUUGUUACUUUUAUUGGUGUAGCGAUCCGGUUGGUCAUUUAUUGAGUUGUAGCUCCAUUUCCCUUAUUUCAGCUUCCUUAUGUGUUCUUUAGCUGUAUUUCAUUGUAUCAUGCUGGUUGGUUUGGGUUCAGAGUGGUUUUGGAGUGAAUUGAGACACUUAGUCUCUUUUGAGUAUGCUUAAGUUGGAAAAGUCAACAGGAUAUUGACUUAUUUAUAAAUGAUCUCAUAUGGGAAUUUAGAUGGUUUGAUUAACUCCAUUAGGUGAUUUUGAACUUGGUAGUGUGUCCGAAAUGUGAUUUAGAUGUUCGUAGUAGAUUUAGGCUUGAAUUGGCAAAAUAAAAAAUUUGGCAUUUCACAGUCGAAAGUGAAAAUUUUGAUAUUGGGGUCAGAAUGAAAUUCCUGAAAUUAGAGUAGGUCCGUUGUGUCAUUUGUGAUGUGUGGGUGAAAUUUCAGGUCAUUCGAAGGUGAUUUUAUAGGUUUCAGCAUCAUUUGAAAAAUUCAAAAGUUUGGAAGUCCUUAGGCUUGAAUCUGAGGUUGAUUUGGUUUUUUGAGGUUGUUUCGAGUGUUUUGAAGGUUUGAAUAAGUUUGAAUGGAGAUAUGUGUCUUGUUGGUAUUUUUGGUUGAGGCCCCAAGAGCGUCAAAAUUAUUUUGGAAGGUUAACGAAAUAGAUUUUGUUUGUGCAACUGUACUUUCUACUUCUGUUAUUUUCGCACCUGCGGAUUAGGGAACGCAGGUCCACAGUCGCAAAUGUGGUGUGAAAUCCGCAGAUAUGGACUUGAUGUCCAAGAAGAGAAACUGCAUAUGCGGUAUGCUGGACACAUCUUCGGGACUGCAGGUGUAGUGCCUAGGGUGCAUAUGCUGUGUUGGGUGUUUAAUUGAAAAUCGCAGGUGCGCAUGAUUGGAUUGCAGAAAUGGUUGCGCAUGUGUAGUAGAAGAACCAUAAAUCCAGAAUUUCCUGGGCAGAAUAUAUAUAAUUGUUGCCCAUCCUUCACCAUUAUUGGCUGGGUUUUGAGCUUUGGGCAGUGGUUUUUCAGAGGAAUCGAGGGUUAUCAGUUGGGCAAGUUACUUGGGCUUUAUUACUUGUGUUUAUGAUGAUUUCUUACUAUUUAAUCGUGAAAUUAGUGGGAAUUUGGGGUGAAGUCCAAUAUGUUAGGGCUUGAGUUUUGAAAAGAGUUUGAUUUGGGGAUUGAGGGACCAUUUGAGGUCGGCUGUUGAUUAAUUUUGUAUGUAUACACUCGGGAGAGAAAGGAGCUUUUAGUUUUUUUUUGUCGAAUAUUGAGACGUGGGCCCAAAGGCCGGGUUUGGGUGAAUUUCAAGAUUUUUGUAUAAUUUGAUAAUGUUUAAUAUGGAAUUGGUUUAUUGGUCUAUAUUGAUUGCAAUGUAAUGCUUUUGGUCAAACUUGAGACAUUUGGAGGCCGAUUCCAAAGGCAAGAGCGAUGUAGAGUAGGGAUUUGAGCAGUUUUAGGUAAGUAAUGAUUGUAAAUCCUAUCCUAACAGUAUAAAGUCCGGAUUACAUAUCGUUUCACUAUUUUGAGCUGGCGCACAUGUUAGGUGACGAGCGUCUAGGAGUGCACCGUUAGGGAUUGUGACAUAGUUCUUAUCGUAGAAACUAUUAAGUGGCGUAUUUGACCGAAAACAAUUUGGUAGUUAUAUGCUUUAGAAUGAAUUUCUAUGAUUUUGGCUGAAUGCCAUAUUUGGGCAUCGUACCAAGCUAUUUGGAGCCUUAGGGGUCUUUUACUAUUAUUUCCUCAAUGUUUUCACUUAAGAUCUGUACUCAGUCAUGCUAUGUUUUACUUAUUUUAUAACUCAAUCUUUAUUACCACGAUGCAUAAAACGAUAUUUUGGGCUAAGAACCCUAUUUUACUUAUAGCCUAAGUCGCUUGAGAGGUUUUUGAGUGAGUGAGGCUGAGGGCCUUAGUUUUGAGGAGGCUUUGGGAUCGGGCUGCGUUGUAGUAUGUUGUUUUUGGUAUGUGACCAUGAGAGGCUGAGGGCCUAAUUUAUUAUGCCAUGAGGUGGCUUGUUAUGGCGCUUGGGCAAUAGGAGUCCCUCUGGAGUAGCGCAGGUGAGUGAGUGAUAUGAUGUUAUGCCCGAGGGGCUGUUCUUGAUUCAUCUUGUGCCCGAAGGGCUGGUUAUGAGUGAUUGUUAGUUUUUACCAAGUGGCUGAUUUUGAGUGAUGUUGUGCCUGAGGGGCGGUUUAUGAUUCAUGUUGUCUGAGGUGCUGUAUAAGAUCUAUGUUUUGCCCAAGGGGAUGUAUAUGCCUGAGGAGCUGUUAUGAAAUUCAUCAUUUUUCUCUAUAUUGCAUUGAGCUUCUAUUGAAAAUUGUUGAACAUCAUCUUCAAAUGAUUUACUGAAAAACUGGGGUUUUAAAUAAGAGUGUUUUUACUCAUAUACUGUUAUGAAAGCAUGUUGAACCUAUUGAGUUUUUGUGGUGUGGAUUUACAUGUUUCCUACUCCUAUGUCAUUAUUUACCUUUAUUACUUACCGAGUUGGCAUACUCAUAUUACUCCCAACAACUAUGUGCAGAUCUAGGGGUUGCUGGACGUCCUAGUGAGCGUUGAUCUUCACCCGCCCUGGAUACUUAGAACUGGCAAGGUAGCUACAUGGACAUUACAGCCUUGCCGUUCUCCCUCAUACUUAGAGCUGGCAAUGUAGCUACAUGGAAAGGCGGCAAGGUUGACUUCAGAUUAUUUUUGUUAUGUUAUGUUUUAGAACAAUUGUAGUAUUGCUCAUGAUUUUGUGACACUCGAGCUGAUGAUUUAUUUUUGCAUAUUGGUUUUUUUGA
rnacentral:lncRNA from 1 species